UGCGCAGGCGGAAUGAUAAGUCAGAGGUGAAAUCCCACGGCUCAACCGUGGAACUGCCUUUGAUACUGCCAUUCUUGAGUACAGUUGAAGUGGGCGGAAUGUGUCAUGUAGCGGUGAAAUGCAUAGAUAUGACACAGAACACCGAUAGCGAAGGCAGCUCACUAAGCUGUAACUGACGCUCAGGCACGAAAGCGUGGGGAGCAAACAGGAUUAGAUACCCUGGUAGUCC
rnacentral:rRNA from 1 species